rnacentral:rRNA from 1 species
GUAGGUGGCAAGCGUUGUCCGGGAAUUAUUGGGGCGUAAAGCGCGCGCAGGCGGUUCUUUAAGUCUGAUGUGAAAGCCCACGGGCUCAACCGUGGAGGGUCAUUGGAAACUGGAGAACUUGAGUACAGAAGAGGAAAGCGGAAUUCCACGUGUAGCGGUGAAUGCGUAGAGAUGUGGAGGAACACCAGUGGCGAAGGCGGCUUUCUGGUCUGUAACUGACGCUGAGGCGCGAAAGCGUGGGGAGCAAACAGGAUUAGAUACCCUGGUAGUCCGCGCCGUAAACGAUGAGUGCUAAGUGUUAGGGGGUUUCCGCCCCUUAGUGCUGCAGCUAACGCAUUAAGCACUCCGCCUGGGGAGUACGGCCGCAAAGGCUG